UACGUAGGGACCAAGCGUUGUUCGGAUUUACUGGGCGUAAAGGGCGCGUAGGCGGCGUGUUAAGUCAGCUGUGAAAUCUCCGAGCUUAACUCGGAACGGUCAGCUGAUACUGAUGUGCUAGAGUGCAGAAGGGGCAAUCGGAAUUCUUGGUGUAGCGGUGAAAUGCGUAGAUAUCAAGAGGAACACCUGAGGUGAAGACGGGUUGCUGGGCUGACACUGACGCUGAGGCGCGAAAGCUAGGGGAGCGAAUGGG
rnacentral:rRNA from 1 species